rnacentral:rRNA from 1 species
GUGUGAUAGAUAUCUACGCCACGGCUCUGCACGGAAUAGUGCUUUGCUUCAAACCGUCCCCUCUGUGGGACAAACUUCAUUGAACACUUGACCUCAAAUCAGGCGGGACUACCCGCUGAACUUAAGCAUAUCAAUAAGCGGAGGAAAAGAAACUAACAAGGAUUCCCCUAGUAACUGCGAGUGAAGCGGGAAGAGCUCAAAUUUAAAAUCUGGCGGCUUCGUCGUCCGAGUUGUAAUUUAGAGAAGUGUUUUCCGCGCUGGACCGUGUACAAGUCUCCUGGAACGGAGCGUCAUAGAGGGUGAGAAUCCCGUCUUUGACACGGACCCCCAGUGCUCUGUGAUACGCUCUCGAAGAGUCGAGUUGUUUGGGAAUGCAGCUCAAAAUGGGUGGUGAACUCCAUCUAAAGCUAAAUAUUGGCGAGAGACCGAUAGCGAACAAGUACCGUGAGGGAAAGAUGAAAAGCACUUUGGAAAGAGAGUGAAACAGUACGUGAAAUUGCUGAAAGGGAAACGCUUGAAGUCAGUCGCGUCCGCCGGAAUUCAGCCCUCGUGGUGUACUUUCCGACGGACGGGCCAGCAUCACUUUUGACCGCCGGAAAAGGGCGGAGGGAAUGUGGCACCUCCGGGUGUGUUAUAGCCCUCCGUCGUAUACGGUGAUUGGGAGUGAGGACCGCCUAUCUUGUA